GUCAUGCCAUUUUUAAUUACCCAGUAGCAGCACUUUUUUUUUUUAAUUUAUUUUUUUAUAAGAUUAUUACACAGUCUUCUCUUUUUAUGUGAUUCAAGCCAUUUCAAUGGAAGAUCACCGUCAUCAAUGGCAUACCCCACUUCUCCACACUGCCGUUCGAUGCCGCUGUGAAUUCCUUGUCCUUCUCUAAUUUUUUCUUCACUUUGCUGUUCUCAGACUUCCAAUACUCACUCUUCUCCAAGGUCUUCAACUCUGAAAAUGGCGGAUCCUGAUUCUUCAGCAUACCCAGAUAGCGGUAUACACGUCGCUCUUCAUUUUUGCUGAAUUUUUCCAUUCCGGUAGUGUUUCUGGCUGCAAUUCAGUUGAUUGUUUUGUUCUUGUAGACGCUUCUUGGCAAGCCAUUCAAAGCUUGGAAAAAAUUGAUACUCAAAAGAUUAUUGAUCCUGUUUCCAAUGAUGCCAUUGACGGUAUAUUGUCUUCAAUUCCCAUUGACUGUAUAUUGUCUUCAAUUCCCACUUGUUUGCACUUGUGGCCUUCAAUUAGCAUAUAUUUAAUGGGUUUUCCAAGAAUUUGAUUCAACUCUACGCUCUAUCUCCCCAGAUCGCUCCAUGCUCGGUUUUUCUUUAACGUCUCCUGAUCUGGUUAUUUGCUCUGGUUCGCCUGAGAUACCGACGACUACCUAUGGAGAUUCCCCUGAAUUCGCGGAUAGGAACAAGUACAAGUGUUCUUUUGAGCUCUCUUUAGAGAAUGGUUUUAAGGUUACUGAUACCAAAGAUACCCAUAAAUCCACAUCUGUAAAGUUUUCUUCAAUAUGCCAAACAUUUGACAAGGAAUUGUCUCCUGAAUCUUCCCUGAAGUUCCUUAUAAAGCCAGAAAAGAAAGAGAAAUUCCUAGAAAAUCCCCUAUCUGUUUUGAGCAUCAAUGCAGGAUCCACUGAUGAGGCUGUGGUUUUGGAUUGUGCGGAGUUUUUGGAGGACAAUUGUUUCUCAGGUGGUGAUACUGUAAGGACAAACGCUACAAUUGGAGAUGGACAGGAACAUGGUCUUUCUCUGUACCAAACAGCUCGUGUUGGCAACUUCUCAUACUGGUUUUCUGGACUGGAGCCGGGGAAUUAUGCUGUGAGUCUGCAUCUUGCAGAAAUUGUAUACACAGAUGGCCCUCCCGGGAUGAGAAUAUUUGAUGUUUUUAUACAAGAGAAAAAGGUUGUUUCAUGCCUAGACAUAUAUGCUCAAGUUGGUGCAAAUAAGCCUCUGGUUAUAUCUGACCUUAAAACUUGUGUUUAUGGUGAGGAAGGCGUAUCCAUUAAGUUUGAAGGAGUAAAGGGAAGCCCAAUCGUUUGUGGAAUUUCGAUAACCAAAGAUUCUUCCGCUUAUGCUGGGGAAGCUCAAUUUUUGAAACCAAUGGGAAUAUUUAAUGUGCGAGAAUGCAACUCACCCAAGCAAGACAAUGGGGAGCAAGAAGUGGAAGGAGAUUAUCAGGAGCUACUUAGACAUAUUGAGUUUCAGAAAAGGGAACUAACACAGAUGAGGUGUGCAUUGGAGGAACUUAAGAGGGAAAAUCAACUUAAGAAUAGGGAAUGUCAAGAUGCUUGGAAAUCUUUACAGGAGCUCCAAAAUGAGCUUAUGCGCAAGUCUAUGCAUGUUGGGUCCUUGGCAUUUGCCAUUGAGGGACAAGUGAAAGAGAAGACCAGUUGGUUUUCAUCAUUGAGGGACAUGACUAGGAAAUUGAAGCUUAUGAAAAUGGAGCACCUAAAGCUAUCAGAGGAGGCAAUGGCCUAUAAGAAGUAUCUUGUGGAUAUGAAUGAAAUGAGGUCGACCAUUCAGUCCACAAUGAAGGAGCAAAUAGAUUUGCAUGAAGAUCUCAAGAUUAAAUUUUCUCAAGGGGCCAAGGAACGAAAGGAACUCUACAACAAGGUUUUAGAGUUGAAAGGAAACAUAAAGGUCUUUUGCCGAUGUAGGCCUUUAAAUGCUGAAGAACUUGCAUUGGGUGCUUCAAUGGCUAUUGAUUUCGAAUCUGCUAAAGAUAGUGAGCUCACUGUAACUUCAAAUGGGCUUUCCAGGAAAACCUUCAAGUUUGAUGCUGUUUUUAGCCCUCAAUCAGACCAAGCUGAAGUUUUUGAAGUCAUUGCUCCAUUUGCAUCCUCAGUUUUGGAUGGUUACAAUGUAUGCAUAUUUGCGUGUGGACAAACUGGAACUGGGAAAACCUUUACAAUGGAGGGUGUAGAAGAAGCUCGUGGAGUAAACUUUAGGAUUCUUGAGGAGAUAUUUCACAUAAUUAAGAAGCAACAUAAGCUAUUUCGUUAUGAUGUAUCUGUGAGUGUUCUAGAAGUAUAUAAUGAGCAAAUACGAGAUUUGCUGGGUUCAUGCUCCCAGCCAGGAGUGGCUGCAAAGAGGCUGGAAAUAAGGCAAGUGGCUGAAGGACAGCAUCAUGUCCCAGGGUUGGUCGAAGCACAGGUAAACAGCAUAAGUGAAGCCUGGGAAGUUCUAAAAACUGGAAGCAAUGCAAGGGCAGUUGGCUCAACUAAUGCCAAUGAGCAAAGCAGCCGAUCCCAUUGCAUUCACUGUGUGAUGGUGAAAGGUGAGAAUGUAUUGAAUGGGGAAUGUACAAGGAGCAAGUUAUGGUUGGUUGAUCUAGCGGGAAGUGAGCGAGUAGCAAAGACAGAAGUCCAGGGAGAGCGGCUUAAGGAAACCCAGAAUAUCAACAGAUCCCUAUCUGCACUUGGUGAUGUCAUAUCUGCUCUUGCAACUAAAAGCCCUCACAUCCCAUUCAGGUUGUAAUUUGCUAGCUAGUCUUUUAUUUUGAAUGUGCAAAUCAACAACCCAAUACAUGCAUCUUCAGUUUGAAAUUUUCUUGAUGUGUCCUUGGUGUGUAGGAAUUCCAAGCUCACCCGCCUGCUUCAAGACUCCUUAGGUACAUUUAUUUCUACAUUUCCCAGAGGAAAAAGAAAAGGAUACGGACAAGUGCAGUGACUGUUAUAGUCCAUAAUGGCUGUGAAAUUUCAAUUUUCUUUGUUCUUUUUUCUUUUGUUCUAUUCUAUUUCUAUCUGUGCAGAAUGAAAAUGAGAUGCUUGACGAAUUGAUUUAUAUUGAUCAGGAAGAGAUUCAAAAAAGCUCAUGUUUGUACAGAUAAGUCCCAAUGAGAAUGACCUGGGUGAGACCCUAUGCUCACUGAACUUUGCAAGCAGAGUUAGAGGGAUAGAGUUGGGUCCUGCAAAAAGGCAAUUGGACACUACUGAACUUCUGAGAUAUAAACAGAUGGCUGAAAAAACAAAACAAGACUUGAAGAGCAAAGAUUUACAGCUCAAGAAGAUGGAGGAAACAAUCCAUGGAUUGGAGUUGAAGAUAAAAGAAAAAGACUUAAGAAAUAAGAACCUUCAAGAGAAGGUGAAGGAGCUGGAGUCGCAACUGCUAAUUGAAAGGAAGCUAGCACGUCAGCAUGUGGACUCAAGGAUAGCUGAGCAACAGCAACAACAAAUGAAACUGCAGCAAGAUGAGCAAAAUAGUGCACCACUGAGGCCGCCACUUGCAAAUCGACUACUAGGAACUAACAAGAAUUUCUGUGAACCUAACAGUACUGAAGUGGGCGAAGAUCAAGUAAAUUCCAGUCAACCACUAGUGGAGAACAAUGGCUACAAACCUACAUUUCCCAUUCUUCUAACAGAUGGCAUUGCCAAGUACAUCGAUCCUACAGAAAAAGAAAACAACCCAGAGAUGACUGAACAACUAGGAUUGCCCAAGAGAACUGGCAGAGCCUCAAUUUGCACAACAUCACAUCGGAUCCCAGUAGCUCCAGCGCCAAGGCGCAACUCACUUAUUCCCCUCCCAAACAAGCCAGGUCUAGCACGGCUAUCACCUCCAUUACCACCAUCGUCAUUAUGCAAUGAUAUGAAAGAAGAUACAGGAGAGUCAGAAGCUAACUGCUUGCCAGAGCAAACACAUUGCAACAGUCCUAAAGGAAUAAAACAUGGGACCAGAAAGCUAAGCGGCAUAUUGGGUAGAAGCCUUCAAAAGAAAAUUCAGAUGAAAUCUCCAGCACAGCAACAUCUGAGAAAAGGAGGUAUAAAUGUUGGGAUGGAGAAGGUUAGGGUCUCUAUUGGAAGCAGAGGGAGAACGGCACAUAGGGUAUUGCUAGGAAAUGGUAGAAGAGCAGGAAUGAAGGAUACUCAGCAGAACAGGAAUCAAAGGGAAAAGGAGAGAGGGUGGAAUAUCGGAACAGCUGGAAGAACUGCAAUCUAAUUAUUGAAGAUUGUCUUACCUAUGACUUACAUUUCUUCUUCCAUGAUAGAAGAAGGAGA
rnacentral:misc_RNA from 1 species